GCGCCCUUGGUGUAAGGUAACACAUGUCUUACAUCUGCUUCGUGGCAAAGAAGGAUUCAAGACAAAUCCGGGGUUCGAGUCCCCUAGGGUGCA